GAUCAUGGCUCAGGAUGAACGCUAGCUACAGGCUUAACACAUGCAAGUCGAGGGGCAGCAUGGACCCAGCUUUGCUGGGUUUGAUGGCGACCGGCGCACGGGUGAGUAACGCGUAUCCAACCUGCCCUUUACUCCGGGAUAGUCUCCUGAAAGGGAGUUUAAUACCGGAUGUGUUUGUCUUUCCGCAUGGGAGGCGACAAAUAAAGAUUAAUUGGUAAAGGGAAUGGGGAGUGCGUCCCAUUAGCUUGUUGGG
rnacentral:rRNA from 1 species